GUAAGCGUGCGCAGGCGGUUUGUAAGACUGUCGUGAAAUCCCCGGGCUCAACCUGGGAAUGGCGAUGGUGACUGCAAGGCUAGAGUUUGGCAGAGGGGGGUAGAAUUCCACGUGUAGCAGUGAAAUGCGUAGAUAUGUGGAGGAACACCGAUGGCGAAGGCAGCCCCCUGGGUCAAAACUGACGCUCAUGCACGAAAGCGUGGGGAGCAAACAGGAUUAGAUACCCCAGU
rnacentral:rRNA from 1 species